rnacentral:rRNA from 1 species
UACAGGGGGGCAAGCGUUGUUCGGAAUCAUUGGGCGUAAAGAGCGUGUAGGUGGCUUGGAAAGUCUUACGUGAAAGCCUGCGGCUCAACCGCAGAAGUGCGUAGGAAACUUCCUCGCUAGAGUCCGGAAGAGGAGAGCGGAAUUCCUGGUGUAGCGGUGGAAUGCGCAGAUAUCAGGAGGAACACCCGUGGCGAAGGCGGCUCUCUGGGACGGUACUGACACUGAGACGCGAAAGCGUGGGGAGCGAACAGG